AAUCUGAAGUGGGUAUAAGAGUCUGAAAAACUCAGAGAUUGAGUGUUGUCUAUCAGCUUCAUCUUUUGUAAUUCUACGAGAAUGGAGUUAAAUAACAGCACUACAUAC